GUGUGUGGAAGCCUUGGCCAACAGCAGGCCCAGGAUGAGGCUUGGUGAUGAGAGCGUUUGCCCAGCAUGUGGGGUCCUAGGCUUGACCCAAAACAGACCAUCAGAGCAACCAUCAAGGGUGACCUCGCAUUGUACCUACAAACACCAACCAAGACGCACCAAGACCCCUCCUCCCGCCGGCUUCACUGCUGGGCAGUGACCAAAAUACACACCCAGAGCAGCUGCAAGGCGGGCCACGGGCCUGCCUCUCUCCUGUUGGAACAAGUCCCCUUUCAAUUAAAAGUAAUAAAUCUCUUCUUGUUUAAGUGGCAGAUGGUUAAGAGUGUUACUUUUGCUUCCAGCAAGCCUCUAAAAACUUUUGAAAAGGAAACUACAGGAUUCAAGAGAGAAGAGAGCAAAUAUUAAGGCCAAGAAAGAACUCUUACAGCAGCCAUGCAGAAGUUUUGGCUUGUGUUCUUCAUGUCAAGGCCGUCACGAAGCCUCUCCUAUCAUAGAGUCACAGUCUAGCAAUCUAGACUCAUCCUCAAAGGUGGAAUGGCGCUAGGCAAGGUGGCACAUGCCUAUAAUUCCAGCUACUCAAGAGGCUGAGGCAGGAAGAUCUGGAGUUCAAGGCCAGCCCUAGCAAUUCAG
rnacentral:lncRNA from 1 species